rnacentral:rRNA from 1 species
GACGAACGCUGGCGGCGUGCUUAACACAUGCAAGUCGAACGGAAAGGCCCGGCUUUUGUGGGGUUCUCGAGUGGCGAACGGGUGAGUAACACGUGUGUAACCUGCCCUUGACUUUGGGAUAACUUCAGGAAACUGGGGAGAUAACCGGGUAGAAUCUCUUGCACCACGGGGGGGGUUGGAAAAUUUCGGCGGUGGGGGAUGGACUGGCGGGUUACCAGCUGGUUAGUGGGGUUGGGGCUGUCGAAGGUUUCGAAGGGUAGCCGGCCUGGGAGGGUGGACGGCCACAAGAGGACUGAGAGAGGGCCCAGACUCCAACGGGAGGCAGCAGGGGAAAGUAUUGCGCAGUGGCCGGGAGCGAGAUACGAAGGCGCCGCGUGCGGGAUGCCGGCCUACGGGUUGUGAACAGCUUUCGACUGAGAUGAAGCGUGAGUGACGGUAACGGGUAAGGAAGCACCGGCUAACUACGUG